GUUGAAUGGUAUCCCGCAAGAUAUAUGCUUGACACGAUCGGAGAAUGCUAAGUCAAUCACUACAACUGAAGAUUGUGAUAGUUUCUUCUCCUUUUUCAGUGCACUUGAAGUAAAUGAUACCUAUAAGCGGACAAAUCAGGUGGGACGUGAUUUUAAUAUCGGGUCAAUUAUUCGAGAUCAGAUUAUCCCCCAUGCAGUUUCAUGGUUUACAGGGGAGGCUAUUGAGAGACAUGACUCGUCAGAUGAUGAAGACCGAUACCUUAGACUUGAAGCUCAAUUUGAUGAUGAAGACGAUGAAGACGAUGAUGAUUAUGAAGACCUUGAUGAUGAUUAGACUCUAAUGGAUACUCUGAGGACGAAGAAGACAUGGAAAAUUACAAUUAUUAUUAAGUGAAAGAUGAAAAUAUAGAUUUUGAAACCUGAGAGUGCAUAUUUGGUAUAUGCUGAGGAGUAGUUUGUUGGCAGUUUUAGAAUGUUUUGAAGUGCCCAUGUAUCAUGAUGUGCAUGUACGCUUGGAACUUGGCCGAAAUUUAGCUCCCUAUCUCGGAAAAAGUAUGUUAAAAUUACUU